GAAUGACAGGUGUGCAUACCAAAUCCAGCUAAAAUGCUUCUAAUCAAAGAAAAUCUUACCUAUGCCCCCUCCAGUUAACAUUCAGGGCAAGAGGAGAGCCCCUGUGUGCAGGAAGCCCUCCCCUCCCCCACUUCUGAGCAGACUUGCUCAGCUCUCCACUGUGCAUUCCCUCCACAUCCAGAUGCAUCUGUGUCCUAGGCAGGACCAGAAUGCCCCGGCCCUUGGUGCCCCACUCAUCUGGCAGCAUCCUAGAAGUGGAAAGGAAAUUUGAGGGGAGGUGUCAAACACAGGAGCCUGUGGAAGAUGACAGACAGCUCUGGGCAUAGGAGGAGGGGCCCAUAAGGACAGGGGGCAGGACAGAGAAACCAGAAGACAAAACUCACAACAAUCGUGUGAGCUGACUGCCGAGGAAGGGGCAGAGCCCGCAAGCAAAUCGGCCAUGUGUGUCGUGAGCUUGAGCCCAAGUAGAACAGGAAAUCAGUUCAACACCACAUGACUCACAUCCCAACCGUUGGAACCAGGUGAAGGGAACCCAACCCAAAGUGAGCUAGGACCAAAAAGAUGGCAGUGAAAACCUACAAGACUCAAAUUAAAACACAGCAAAUGGCCACGACAGCCAGCCACGAAGACAGAAAAUGAUUUUCAAGAGCAGGCUCACUAGGGCCACUGAGGGAAAUAAUGGCAAAAUAAAAACCUCCGCCAACAGAGGAUAAAUCUCUAAAGCCACAGUUAAUGGCCCAAUAAUUUUUUCCUUCAAUAACAAAAGAAUCAGCAAAAUCAAUUUCCCAGAUACCCAGAAAAGCACCCCACGGCAGCCUGGCACUUCCCAAACAGAUCAACACCUUUGCAAAGAUGGCCACCAAGUGCUACAGGUUCAAAAACAGUGCGAGGACAGGAAGCGGAAUCUGGCCAUUUUCACAGAGGAGGACAGGCCAGAACAGCCAGCUGCACACACGCAGCAGGCGGGGUGUGUGGCAGGAGACCAAAGGUCAGGAAGACUCCACCUCCUCCUCCAAGCUGGAGGGGGCCUGCCUGGGCCCUGGGCAGACGCGUGACUUCAACCCUGCGGCCUGGCCAGGGGGUUCCCUGACCAGACACAGAAGGGCCAGAACAGAACCCACCUCUAGCCCAGAUUUAUCCUGCAAGGAAAGGCAACCGGGGAGAAGGACAGAUGCCAGUUCCUGGGGUCCCUCGUGGCUGCUGGGCAGGGAACUCAAUGCCAUUCACUGGGGGCUACCAAAUGGAGGCGCCGACCCUGGCGAUACACACAGCACAGGUACGGGCACAGGCUGGGCAGGGCCCGAAAGCUGAGGUGCAAAAAAACCAGCUGCUCUUGGAGAUUCGGUGUGUUCCCCUGGAUAUGUGCUUCAGGACUAAUCAUUUUACAAGGCCCCAAAUCAUUAACAAAACGGCUGAUUACAGUUCUGGCAAUCAUUAUUUAAGUCAUUACUUAGACUGUUGGAUGCAAUAAAUAGAGAGAUGACAGAAUGGCAAACAGCUGAGAUUCCACCUCCAGAGCCCAAGAACACAGUGUCAGGGAAGGAACAGAGCCGUGGCGGAGCCACAUGGGCUCAUCCCAGUCUUCAGACGCGAACGGAGCCAGAUAAAUCACUCUAAGAUGCCUUCCUCCGCCUCGAUUGCAGGGGCCACUGCGCUAAAUUCUUACAUAGCCCCCAUCCACUUAAUUUUAGUGUUGGUUAUGUAUAUUCAGAGGCUCAAAAAUACUUGAUGAUUCCAGUGGACCCACACAAUUUUGAACUGUUUUUAAAUAUAAAAAUGGACAUAUUAAUGAACUAGAAAUCAAUUAGGACGUAGCAAAUCAAGUGCCUUGGUUCAUAAAGCGGUGUACACAUAGUACUGUGGCUCUGACAGUCAAGUUUUAACCAAAAGAUUCUCUCAGAAUAUGGGCCCAUCAGGGCUGGGGCUCAGUGGUAGAGCGCUUGCCUCACAUGUGUGAAGCACUGGGGUCCAUUCUCAGCGCCACAUAUAAAUAAAUAAAAUAAAGGUCCAUCAAUAACUAAAACAAAAGAAUAUAGAUUCAUUAGAAGGUAACGGCCAACACGGAGGCUUCCUGCUGUGUGGUUACCCAAGACAGAAUCCUGCCCCUGGCCAGUGUCUGGAGCUGGGCUGGAGGCUGUGUGAUGUCAUCUCACCUCCACAAGAGGAGGCUCCGUUCUUGCCCACUGCAGCCCAGAGGUGGAAUUCCUGGACCCUAAUCCUCAAAUCCCUCAGACACCGCCGGAUGCCGAGGAUAUUCUAGCACCAUGCCAAGUGCCACCCUGGGCACCGCCGACAUUGGGGCUGGAUAACUCUGCUGGGGGCCGUCUGUGCACUACACUACAUUUUAUGGCAUCCCGGCUUCCACCCAGUGGAACGACUUGGGUGACUGGGGUUUCCUGCACACAUCCUGGCAGGAACCUUGCCUGCAAUGAUGUCCUCCAGUGGCCACACUGUGAAAUGUGCAACAUUGACUCUGCUCUCGGCUCCUGUUCUUCCAGGAACGCUUGGUACUACCUCCAACUACCCUGGCACCUGCUUCCCCACAGCUACGGGUUCAACUAGAGAAAGGUCUCUUAAGCGAGAUGGCAGGGCCACACACCUGGUAUUGCCCAAACCGGAAUGGCUGGCUGCCCUCAGGCACAGAGUCCACUUGUCAAUCUCUCCUGCAACAGGACAACCCAGCCAGCCCUAUCACCCACAGCCAUCAGCCUUAGGUGCUCAGCCAUGAGGGAUGUUGACAGGGCUGUCACCUCUUCUUGCUCCUACUCAGUCCAUCUAGAAAUGGCGGCCUUCUCAGGGCAGGCCUCGACACAGCAGCUAGAUGCCCGACUCCUGUCCCAACCUGUCAAUACAGGGGCCUCAGGAGCAGCAGCUAUGAUGGUGCCACCUGGAGAACUAAGAGCCUACGCACCUGAUAGUGGUGCCACAUGCAGAGUGGAGAGGAGCAGGAACCUGGACUUAGCACCAGGCACAAGCUGACCAGCACGGAAGGAGAAACCAUCAAACUGCUAAAAGACGACACCGGAGAGAGUCUUUGGAAUCCUGGGUGGGCAACGAUGACAAACGUCCAUAAAAAUACAAUAUUCAAUACGAGACUUUACAAAACUUCUGCUCAUCAAAAAGAUUCCAUCAACAGAGUGUGAUUGCAAAGUAGGAAAAGAUAUAUUUUUGGUACCAGGGAUUGAGGGAUUGAGCUCAGUGGCGCUUGACCACUGAGCCACAUCCCCAGCCCUUGUUUGUAUUUUAUUUAGAGACAGGGCCUCACCGAGUUGCUUAGCAGCCUCACUUUUGCUGAGGUGGCUUUGAACUCACCAUCCUCCCGUCUCAGCUCUGGGACACACAGCUAUUAUCACCAUACCCGGCAGGAAGAGAUCUCAAUACAAAUAUCCAACUCAAGACCUGUAUCCAGAAUCUGUCACAGGUUUCUACAGUUUUAGUGUGCUAGGGGUUUGAACCUGCCUCCCAAAAUGUGUGCACUGGAAACUUUAUCCCCAAUGCAAAGGUGUGGGGAAGAGGGCACAAGGAGAGGAAAUUGGGCCCGUAAGGCUACACCGUCAUAGAUGCAUUAAGCCCUUCAUCAUUGGGACCACACACAUUUGACACAAACGGACCUUGCAAAGCCCAGGCAGCAACUGAGUUGUAGCAGGGGUUAAAGGUUUCGUAUCCAUGCUGGCCAGAGGUAGCUUACUUCUCAGGGACCAUCCAUGGCCUCCGGAUAUCUCCCUUAAGAGUCUGAAUGUCCAGAACGCUCCGUCCUCCUGAACCUCUUUUCUUCCUCCCCCUUCAAAUUGUCCUUUCUGCCAAGAAUCACUUGCCUCCCUACUUCCUGCUGACACAUUAAUUACAACAACAAAUAACCCGAGUGAUGUCAUCUAAACGCUCACUUCCUGUAGUGGACUGGCUGUGGCAGAGGAGGGUGGGGAGGCAAGGCCUCUGCCCCAUGUCCAGCACCUCAUGCCUCAUUCUAGAGAGGAAAAAAAGACCGCGGCUCUCACUUGGCACGAAGCCCUUACACAGAGGAACUCACCCCGAAGGGGAACAAAGAUUUAAGCUGGAUCCAAUAGCACCUUCUAGAAAUGCUUGGGACUUCCACCAAAUGGGCUCUGUGACAGACAAAGAGGAACGUGACCAGAAAACUGGAAACCCAGGUUGGCUGGUGACAUCACGAUGAGGAGCUAUGGGGGCGACGUGGCAGAGGCCCAGCCCGCAGUAUUCCACACUGCCCAUGGCCCUUCACCGUUUCACCUGAACUCACCUCCAUGUGUCCUAACGGGGCCACCAGCUGGAAUCUGUCCUGCAAGCCUAGCACUUGGUAUCACAGUUAUCUUGGAUUAUGGCUUCAAGAGCCAAGUCUGACCUUGGGUUCAAGGUCACAUCCCUAGACGGGUGAUCAAAGGGCAGGGGUGGCCACUCUGAGGCCAUAUGUGUCCCCAACCCACAUAAGAAAACCAAUCUUGUCACUCCAGUUUCUCCAAGAUCCCAAGCAGAACCCUCCUCAUGGAAGGCCACGGGCUUGGGUACCCAAAUCAACAAUCCAGGAGACUUCAGGAUUUAUUUUCUAGGAGACAAGAGGUCCCAAAUAUUACCAAGACCGUUUUGUCUGUAGUCCUCUAGCUACACGGUCUUAGUGUCAGUUAUUGUACACGUAUUCAGCCGAGCCCAACCUACCCCAUCCUCAACGUCACUGCGUCACUCAGAACUACCUGCCCUAUAGCCACCAAGACUCUUAGACUGCCACAGCUGUUCUCAACGUGUGCUGGCCAGUCUCAGAACAGUGUUCCAAGUUCCUAGCCAAAGUGCUGCUCCCACCUGCUGGGAGGUCACAGCAGGUCCAGCUGUGAGAACAACUGCCCAGGCAAGGGACAACUCGAGGUCGUGCCUGCAGGGGGUCCGUCCACCUUUGGGGCAGUUGACUCCCAAGUUUUCAGCUGACCCUUACCCCAGUGAUAGAGCUCCUUUCUCCUGCUCUGUCUUCUUGUUCCUGAUCAUGCACAGAGUGCUCCAUCAACCCAAAACAUGGGAAAAGCAGCCCAGGCUCUAGACCUUGAUGAGCUGAGGAUUCUCCAGCCUCCACAGGGACCUUCUGGGAGCCAGCAACAAACACAUCACCCGCUCUGUGGGCAGGGCCCUGGCUUGCUGUCGCACAGUGAGCAGAUGACUUGGGAGGCAGAACCGUCCACAGCCGCUGAAGCGGAGGCUGCCCACACUCACCAGCAGCCCCAGGGAAGUGUGGAGGGGGAAUCCUGGACGACAUCCCUCCAGACUUAAACCCCAGCCCCGUGGUCCUAGGGAUGCCGUGCCCUGGGGUUCUCUUUACAAGGACUGAGAUAUACAAACAGUGGAUCCAUUUCAAUAAGAUAUGAAGAAACGAGAAAAGAUCAUUUUGAAACAGGCUGUUAUAUAUAGAAAAUUAAAUCAAGUGCCUUGGCUGUAAACACCAGGGUGGAUCAUGCACCAGAGUGCCAUUAAUUAUUAACUGUCCUGAAAUGUCCCAAUACGGACUAAAUGGCCUACUCCCAGAGCAAAAUGUAUUCUCAUUGACAAAAGGAGACCAAAAUAUUUGUCAUGGUUGCUAAUUUGAAUAGAAUGGGUUCCAAAAUUAGAAAGUGGCUACUUCAAUGUUGAGCGUCUUGACAAGGCGUUUUGCAGUUGGAACAGGGAGACCAACAGGCUGUCUCCCCAAGCACUCCGUGCAGUGGGCCUUACUACCAGCCUCCCCUUUUGAUUUUGAAGAAUUUUAAAGCCAAGCCACACUCCCUCCAUUACUGGUAACCAUGCUAAACGGUUCCAAUACCGCACCUGAGCAUUUGCAGCGAUCCUGUCAAAUAAAAUCUUCCUCCAAGUUAACUCUGCUCUAUAUUUAUGCAUUAAUAUCACAGCUUACUGCAAAGCGCACAAAUCAUUUUAACAGAGUGUAAAUUUAACUACCAUGAAGGCAUUUUAUACUCUGCUUAACUUCACUAAGGGGCCCAUAUUUUUUGGAGCAGAUAAAUCAGGUUUCCAUAUAACUCUACUUAAGGGAACAGAAGUCAAAACUUAUAAAGAGAAAUAUGCCCUGUGUCCCUGGAUUACAGAGCAAAUAAACAUAUCUGCACCCCAGCCAAGAGUCUACUUUUGUCAUCUGUAACUCUUACCAAGCAUAGAGCACCCACUGGACUACCUGGCCCAGGGAAGGUGGAAGGGUGGGAGAGGUUGUCACCUUCCUCCCAAGUCCAGUCCCUGUCCUCUUGCUAUUCUGCAAUGAUGAGGACUGACCACUGUUGCCCUGAGAACAUCUUCCCCACAUCAUGAGGAGCCGACAUCUGUACCAUCUUGAAUGUCAUCGAUAGAAACAUGAUCUCCUCUGGGUCUUUCCUAAAGGGAACUCAUGCCCUGAUGUCACAAGGUCCCCAGAUACACACAAGAAAAGUAAAAAGAAAAAAAAAAAAAAAAAA